rnacentral:rRNA from 1 species
UACGUAGGGUGCGAGCGUUAAUCGGAAUUACUGGGCGUAAAGCGUGCGCAGGCGGUUUUGUAAGCCAGAUGUGAAAUCCCCGGGCUCAACCUGGGAAUGGCAUUUGGGACUGCAAAGCUGGAGUGCGGCAGAGGGGACUGGAAUUCCUGGUGUAGCAGUGAAAUGCGUAGAGAUCGGGAGGAAUACCGAUGGCGAAGGCAGGUCCCUGGGUUGACACUGACGCUCAUGCACGAAAGCGUGGGGAGCAAACAGG